rnacentral:rRNA from 1 species
UACGUAGGGUGCAAGCGUUGUCCGGAAUUAUUGGGCGUAAAGAGCUCGUAGGCGGUUUGUCGCGUCUGCUGUGAAAUCCCGAGGCUCAACCUCGGGCCUGCAGUGGGUACGGGCAGACUUGAGUACUGCAGGGGAGACUGGAAUUCCUGGUGUAGCGGUGAAAUGCGCAGAUAUCAGGAGGAACACCGGUGGCGAAGGCGGGUCUCUGGGGCCGAAUACUGACGCUGGAGGAGCGAAAGCGUGGGGAGCAAACAGG